GGUUUGAUCUUGGCUCAGAUUGAACGCUGGUGGGAUGUUUACACAUGCAGUCGAAUCGGCAGGCACGGACUUCGGUCUGUGGCGAGUGGCGAAUCGGUGAGUAAUGUAUCGGGAACGCUCAGUAGCGGGGAUAACUACGCGAAAGCGUAGCUAAUACCGCAUAUCUUAAAGCGGGAUCUUUCGGGCCUCGCACUAUUAGAGCGGCCGAUAUCGGAUUAGCUAGUUGCAGGCAACGGCUCACCAAGUUAAGCACGAUCCGUAGCUGGUUUGAGAGGACGACCACGACGCCAUCGACUGUUGAGACACGGCCCAGACUCCUACGGAAAGCAGUGGGGAAUUUUGGACAAUGGGGAAACUUGAUCCGCUCAUCCGUGCAAGACAUGAAGGCCUCUCGGGCUAAAGUUGAGUCUUUAGCAGAAAGAAACGCGACGAUGUUGCAACUGACGGUACCUGCAGAAUAAGCACUGCUAACCAAAGCAGCAGCCGCGGUGAUACGUAGGGUGCAAGCGUGUUAAUCGGAAUUACUGGCGUGGUAAGCGUGCAGGCGGUUCGGAAAGAAAGAUGUGAAAUCCCAGAGCUUAACUUUGAACUUACUUUAGAAUUAUUAUCAAUGAGCUAUGCCAGAGGGAGGGUGGAAUUCGCGUGUAGCGGUGAAAUGCGUAGAUAUGCGGAGGAACACCGAUGGCGAAGGCAGCCUCCGGGAUAACACUGACGCUCAUGCACGAAAGCGUGGGGAGCAAACAGAUUAGACACCUUGGUGGCCCACGCCCCAAACGAUGUCAAUCUUCUCAUUGCUGGGGCCUUCGGGCCUUAAAGCAGCUAACACAGUGGUUGACCGCCUGGGGAGUACGGUUCGUGCGAUUAAAACUCAAAGGAAUUGACGGGGACCCGCACAAGCGGUGGAUGAUGUGGAUUAAUUCGAUGCACGCGAAAACCUUACCUACCCUUGACAUGUCUGGAAUCCCGAAGAGAUUUGGGAGUGCUCGCAAGAGAAACCGGAACACAGGUGCUGCAUGGCUGUCGUCAGCUCGUGUCGUGAGAUGUUGGGUUAAGUCCUGCAACGAGCAAGCAAUCCCUUGUCAUUAGUUGCUACGAAAGGGCACUCUACUGAGACUGCCGGUGACAAACCGGAGGAAGGUGGGGAUGACGUCAAGUCCCUACGACCCUUAUGGGUAGGGUCAGCCAUCAUACAAUGGUCGGGACAGAGGGUCGCCAACCCGCGAGGGGAGCCAAUCCCAGAAACCCGAUCGUAGUCCGGAUCGCAGUCUGCAACUCGACUGCGUGAAGUCGGAAUCGCUAGUAAUCGCGGAUCAGCAUGUCGCGGUGAAUACGUUCCCGGGUCUUGUACACACCGCCCGUCACACCAUGGGAGUGGGUUUUACCAGAAGUAGUUAGCCUAACCGUAAGGAGGGCGAUUACCGACGGUAGGAUUCAUGGAUUGGGGUGAAGUCGUAAUAAGGUAGC
rnacentral:rRNA from 1 species